rnacentral:rRNA from 1 species
AAAUUGAAGAGUUUGAUCAUGGCUCAGAUUGAACGCUGGCGGCAGGCCUAACACAUGCAAGUCGAACGGUAACAGGAAGCAGCUUGCUGCUUCGCUGACGAGUGGCGGACGGGUGAGUAAUGUCUGGGAAACUGCCUGAUGGAGGGGGAUAACUACUGGAAACGGUGGCUAAUACCGCAUAAUGUCGCAAGACCAAAGAGGGGGACCUUCGGGCCUCUUGCCAUCAGAUGUGCCCAGAUGGGAUUAGCUAGUUGGUGAGGUAACGGCUCACCAAGGCGACGAUCCCUAGCUGGUCUGAGAGGAUGACCAGCCACACUGGAACUGAGACACGGUCCAGACUCCUACGGGAGGCAGCAGUGGGGAAUAUUGCACAAUGGGCGCAAGCCUGAUGCAGCCAUGCCGCGUGUAUGAAGAAGGCCUUCGGGUUGUAAAGUACUUUCAGCGGGGAGGAAGGUGUUGUGGUUAAUAACCGCAGCAAUUGACGUUACCCGCAGAAGAAGCACCGGCUAACUCCGUGCCAGCAGCCGCGGUAAUACGGAGGGUGCAAGCGUUAAUCGGAAUUACUGGGCGUAAAGCGCACGCAGGCGGUCUGUCAAGUCGGAUGUGAAAUCCCCGGGCUCAACCUGGGAACUGCAUUCGAAACUGGCAGGCUUGAGUCUUGUAGAGGGGGGUAGAAUUCCAGGUGUAGCGGUGAAAUGCGUAGAGAUCUGGAGGAAUACCGGUGGCGAAGGCGGCCCCCUGGACAAAGACUGACGCUCAGGUGCGAAAGCGUGGGGAGCAAACAGGAUUAGAUACCCUGGUAGUCCACGCCGUAAACGAUGUCUACUUGGAGGUUGUGCCCUUGAGGCGUGGCUUCCGGAGCUAACGCGUUAAGUAGACCGCCUGGGGAGUACGGCCGCAAGGUUAAAACUCAAAUGAAUUGACGGGGGCCCGCACAAGCGGUGGAGCAUGUGGUUUAAUUCGAUGCAACGCGAAGAACCUUACCUGGUCUUGACAUCCACGGAAGUUUUCAGAGAUGAGAAUGUGCCUUCGGGAACCGUGAGACAGGUGCUGCAUGGCUGUCGUCAGCUCGUGUUGUGAAAUGUUGGGUUAAGUCCCGCAACGAGCGCAACCCUUAUCCUUUGUUGCCAGCGGUUAGGCCGGGAACUCAAAGGAGACUGCCAGUGAUAAACUGGA